UACGAAGGGGGCUAGCGUUGUUCGGAAUUACUGGGCGUAAAGCGUACGUAGGCGGAUUGUUAAGUGAGGGGUGAAAUCCCGAGGCUCAACCUCGGAACUGCCUUUCAUACUGGCAAUCUUGAGUCCGGGAGAGGUGAGUGGAACUCCUAGUGUAGAGGUGAAAUUCGUAGAUAUUAGGAAGAACACCAGUGGCGAAGGCGGCUCACUGGCCCGGAACUGACGCUGAGGUACGAAAGCGUGGGGAG
rnacentral:rRNA from 1 species